rnacentral:rRNA from 1 species
CCUACGGGUGGCAGCAGUGGGGAAUAUUGGACAAUGGGGGCAACCCUGAUCCAGCCAUGCCGCGUGUGUGAAGAAGGCCCUCGGGUUGUAAAGCACUUUCAGUGAGGAAGAACGCCUGGUGGUUAAUACCCAUCAGGAAAGACAUCACUCACAGAAGAAGCACCGGCUAACUCCGUGCCAGCAGCCGCGGUAAUACGGAGGGUGCGAGCGUUAAUCGGAAUUACUGGGCGUAAAGCGCGCGUAGGUGGCUUGAUAAGCCGGUUGUGAAAGCCCCGGGCUCAACCUGGGAACGGCAUCCGGAACUGUCGAGCUAGAGUGCAGGAGAGGAAGGUAGAAUUCCCGGUGUAGCGGUGAAAUGCGUAGAGAUCGGGAGGAAUACCAGUGGCGAAGGCGGCCUUCUGGACUGACACUGACACUGAGGUGCGAAAGCGUGGGUAGCAAACAGGAUUAGAUACCCUAGUAGUC